UGAGUCCGAGGAGCUACGGCUCUUAAGUGAUACGAGUCAGACUUCCCAGAAAAGCCCGAACCACGUUAAUCUCUAAUUACCUGUACCCGAAACCGACACAGGUGGGUAGGUAGAGUAUACUAAGGGGCGCGAGAUAACUCUCUCUAAGGAACUCGGCAAAAUGACUCCGUAACUUCGGGAGAAGGAGUGCCUUAUUUAUAAGGUUGCAAUAACAAGAUCCGAGCAACUGUUUAUCAAAAACACAGGUCUCCGCUAAGUCGUAAGACGAUGUAUGGGGGCUGACGCCUGCCCAGUGCCAGAAGGUUAAAGAAGUUGGUUAGUGUAUGCGAAGCUGAUGACUGAAGCCCUGGUGAACGGCGGCCGUAACAAUAACGGUCCUAAGGUAGCGAAAUUCCUUGUCGGGUAAGUUCCGACCCGCACGAAAGGCGUAAUGAUUUGGAUACUGUCUCGGAGAGAGGCUCGGUGAAAUAGACUUGUCUGUGAAGAUGCGGACUACCUGCACCAGGACAGAAAGACCCUAUGAAGCUUUACUGUAACUUGAAAUUGGAAUUGGACUUUGCUUGCGCAGUAUAGGUGGGAAGCGUUGAAGAUAUUCUUGCGGGAGUAUUGGAGCUAUCAGUGAGAUACCACUCUUGUAAUGUUAGAUUUCUAACUUUGAACCAUAAUCUGGUCAAAGAACAGUUUCAGGUGGGCAGUUUGACUGGGGCGGUCGCCUCCCAAAUGGUAACGGAGGCGUACAAAGGUUUCCUCUGAACGGAUAGAAAUCGUAUCUAGAGUGUAAAGGCAUAAGGAAGCUUGACUGUGAGACCUACAAGUCGAGCAGGGACGAAAGUCGGUCUUAGUGAUCUGACGGUACUGAGUGGAAAGGCCGUCACUCAACGGAUAAAAGUUACUCUAGGAUAACAGGCUGAUCUCCCCCAAGAGUUCACAUCGACGGGGAGGUUUGGCACCUCGAUGUCGGCUCAUCGCAUCCUGGGGCGGUAGUACGUCCCAAGGGUUGGGCUGUUAGCCCAUGAAAGCGGUACGCGAGCUGGGUUCAGAACGUCGUGAGACAGUUCGGUCCAUAUCCGGUGUAGGCGUUAGAAUAUUGAGAGGAGCCUUCUUUAGUACGAGAGGACCGAGAAGGACACACCGCUGGUGUACCAGUUAUCGUGCCAACGGUAAACGCUGGGUAGCUAUGUGUGGAGUGGAUAACCGCUGAAAGCAUCUAAGUGGGAAGCCCACCUCAAGAUGAG
rnacentral:rRNA from 1 species